UAGGUUCAGGUCUUGCGGUUCCCCCGUG
rnacentral:sRNA from 1 species